CAUGGGGCCGCCGCAGCCGCCGACACCUCCUGGGGCCGGGCCGGGCAGCCCCGACACGGGCCCGGCACCUCGGCCCUUGAAAUACAACAUUUAAAGUAUUGGGAGUAUUUUUCAAAACAUCCUGCUGCUUGAAAAAUGACAGGUAAUCAAGCUUUCUAUUGGAAGAGGUCAAAGGAUGUUCUGUCAUUAAGGAAUCUGUUCACCUGUGAUACUUAAAGAAUGUCAACAGACAAUAUGAAAUAGUAACAGAAGAGUGAAAAGGAUACGCAAUGUUGAACACAAAUUCUUUGUCUUAUUCUGGUUUGAUAGCUGAAUUUGACCUUGUUUUAAAGAAUUUGGCUGGAGUUGGGUCAGUACUGGAAAAAAAAUAAGGGCAGAAGUGUCAGGCUCUACACUGUGUAAUGAAGAAUGAUAAAAUGCUUUCAAGUGGAACUGAGUGUAUCAAGCUUUGAGACACAGCUUCUACAUAAAAGUGAGUUAUUUGAUUAGAGAGUCACUAAAUCAAACCUGAAACCACAGUCUAUGGAGACAUAUAUCUUGAGCUACCUAGCUUCUGUUAUAUCAGACACAGACAUUUUAAAUGCUGUUUCGGUUUAUGAAAUAAAUCAAUUUAUGCUAAUCAUUUCCAGAUGACUUACAUAGUACUUAAUGAUGUAUAAAUAGCACUGUUGAAGAUGCACUUGGUAAAUGUGAGGAGCUUUUAGAUUCCAGAAGUUUGUAUUUCAGAUAAUCAUAGCAUACAGGCAUCCAUUAAGAAAGUCUGCUCAGGCCAG